rnacentral:rRNA from 1 species
AGAGUUUGAUCCUGGCUCAGGAUGAACGCUGGCGGCGUGCCUAACACAUGCAAGUCGAGCGGAGAUAAGGUUGAGUACUUGUACGAGAUUUUAUCUUAGCGGCGGACGGGUGAGUAACACGUGAGCAACCUACCUUUAGCAGGGGAAUAACACUGGGAAACCAGUGCUAAUACCGCAUAAUAUUACUACAGGGCAUCCUGUGGUAAUCAAAGGAGAAAUCCGGUAAAAGAUGGCCUCGCGUCCGAUUAGUUAGUUGGUGGGGUAAUGGCCUACCAAGACAGCGAUCGGUAGCCGGACUGAGAGGUCGAACGGCCACAUUGGAACUGAGAGACGGUCCAGACUCCUACGGGAGGCAGCAGUGGGGAAUAUUGGGCAAUGGGCGAAAGCCUGACCCAGCAACGCCGCGUGAAGGAAGAAGGCCUUCGGGUUGUAAACUUCUUUGAUCGGGGACGAAAAAAAUGACGGUACCCGAAAAACAAGCCACGGCUAACUACGUGCCAGCAGCCGCGGUAAUACAUAGGUGACAAGCGUUAUCCGGAUUUACUGGGUGUAAAGGGCGUGUAGGCGGGCUUGCAAGUUGGAUGUGAAAUUCACAGGCUUAACCUGAGAGGGUCAUCCAAAACUGCGAGUCUUGAGUACUGGAGAGGAUAGUGGAAUUCCUAGUGUAGCGGUAAAAUGCGUAGAUAUUAGGAGGAACACCAGUGGCGAAGGCGGCUAUCUGGACAGUAACUGACGCUGANGCGCGAAAGCGUGGGGAGCAAACAGGAUUAGAUACCCUGNNAGUCCACGCCGUAAACGAUGAAUACUAGGUGUAGGGGGUAUCGACCCCCCCUGUGCCGCAGCUAACGCAAUAAGUANUCCACCUGGGGAGUACGANCGCAAGGUUGAAACUCAAAGGAAUUGACGGGGGCCCNC